rnacentral:lncRNA from 1 species
AUUACGAGAAUACAUUUAGCGUGUUACCUACGUUUUAGAGGCGCGUAGCAAGAGCUUCUCUGAAAGACUGGCAGUAUAGUAGUAGUCAGUGAUAAUAUUGAGCCUUAAUAUGUUCCAGACACUGUCCUAAGUGAUUUACCUUACAUUAUUCCCCUGAAUGUUUAUAAUUCCCAAGUGAAAGAAGGAAAUGAUAUAUUGGAUAGCUAUGAGUGGGGAGGUUUGUACUGGCUGCUUUCCCAUAAAGAAAUUAAGCACGUUCACGAAGGGCACGUAGUUUGUUAGUGUCUGGAACCCAGUUUUCGUGCCUGAAGUUCAAAUGUUCUUGCUACACCACCAUAGAAACUAACGUCACUCAGGAACCAUUUGUCAGGGCAAAGGGUGCCACCAUUUUGCAUUUCCUCCUGCCUUAGGACCAUCCUAAAUCACUCGCAUGGAGUGUUUUGGAAGAACUCUCAAGAGCUUCGUUUGCCUAGAGUCAGAAUUCCUAACCUUGAGUCCUGGUUUUGCCACAAACCCAAGCCGUUUGAUCUUGGGCAACUCCCGAAGAAAGCUGGGUUCAACUUCCUCACUGUCAAACUGGUUGUAGGUCUAGAUAAGUUUCAAGUACUCUUUUUAUGUGCAUGGUCUCUGACAUAGGAAGACUACAUACUGGGCCAGUAACAGGAAGGCACAAAGCUGACUGGAGGUUUAAAAAUUACUUGGUCAAUUUGAUUAAUGAGGAGAAUGAAUCAGAAAAUUUCAAGUUCUCCCGUGGCUAACUGUCGAGUAUCCACUUCAAGCUUUUUUCUCAGGUCAGUCCACUGGACAUUUUCCAUGCCAAAUAGAAAUCCACAUUCAGCUGGAAUCAUUCCAUCGGAAAGAGGUCGAAAAUGUACAGUAGGCAUGCACAAAGGAUACCGCCUGGAAAGAAGGUAAAACUGGAAAACAGGAGGGAGGCGGGGCCCAAUUUUGGCUUCUCCUUCCG